AGAGUUUGAUCCUGGCUCAGGACGAACGCUGGCGGCGUGCCUAAUACAUGCAAGUGGAACGCAUGGGUAAUACCGGAGCUUGCUCCACCAUUACUCAUGAGUCGCGAACGGGUCAGUAACGCGUAGGUAACCUGGCUUUAAGAGGGGGAUAACUAUUGGAAACGAUAGCUAAUACCGCAUAGGCGUGGCUAAUGCAUCUUAGCCACAUAAAAGGGGCAAGAGCUCCGCUUAGAGAUGGACCUGCGUUGUAUUAGCUAGUUGGUAGGGUAAAGGCCUACCAAGGCGACGAUACAUAGCCGACCUGAGAGGGUGAACGGCCACACUGGGACUGAGACACGGCCCAGACUCCUACGGGAGGCAGCAGUAGGGAAUCUUCGGCAAUGGGGGGAACCCUGACCGAGCAACGCCGCGUGAGUGAAGAAGGUUUUCGGAUCGUAAACCUCUGUUGUUAAGGAAGAACGGGUAAGGGAGUGGAAAGCCCUUAUCGUGACGGUACUUAACCAGAAAGGGACGGCUAACUACGUGCCAGCAGCCGCGGUAAUACGUAGGUCCCGAGCGUUGUCCGGAUUUAUUGGGCGUAAAGGGAGCGCAGGCGGUUUUGUAAGUCUGAAGUUAAAGGCAUUGGCUCAACCAAUGUUAGCUUUGGAAACUGCAGGACUAAACUUGAGUGCAGAAGGGGAGAGUGGAAUUCCAUGUGUAGCGGUGAAAUGCGUAGAUAUAUGGAGGAACACCGGUGGCGAAAGCGGCUCUCUGGUCUGUAACUGACGCUGAGGCUCGAAAGCGUGGGUAGCGAACAGGAUUAGAUACCCUGGUAGUCCACGCCGUAAACGCUGAGUGCUAGGUGUUAGGCCCUUUCCGGGGCUUAGUGCCGCAGCUAACGCAUUAAGCACUCCGCCUGGGGAGUACGACCGCAAGGUUGAAACUCAAAGGAAUUGACGGGGGCCCGCACAAGCGGUGGAGCAUGUGGUUUAAUUCGAAGCAACGCGAAGAACCUUACCAGGUCUUGACAUCCCGGUGCUAUUUCUAGAGAUAGAAAGUUUCUUUUGAACACUGGAGACAGGUGGUGCAUGGUUGUCGUCAGCUCGUGUCGUGAGAUGUUGGGUUAAGUCCCGCAACGAGCGCAACCCUUAUUGUUAGUUGCCAUCAUUGAGUUGGGCACUCUAGCGAGACUGCCGGUAAUAAACCGGAGGAAGGUGGGGAUGACGUCAAAUCAUCAUGCCCCUUAUGACCUGGGCUACACACGUGCUACAAUGGUCGGUACAACGAGUCGCAAGCCGGUGACGGCAAGCUAAUCUCUGAAAGCCGAUCUCAGUUCGGAUUGGAGGCUGCAACUCGCCUCCAUGAAGUCGGAAUCGCUAGUAAUCGCGGAUCAGCACGCCGCGGUGAAUACGUUCCCGGGCCUUGUACACACCGCCCGUCACACCACGAGAGUUUGUAACACCCGAAGUCGGUGAGGUAACCGUUUAGGAGCCAGCCGCCUAAGGUGGGAUGGAUGAUUGGGGUGAAGUCG
rnacentral:rRNA from 1 species